rnacentral:lncRNA from 1 species
GACUCUCUGGCACUGGGAUGAUCCAGAACUGGGAUGAUCCAGGACUGGGAUGAUCCAACACUGAUCCAGGACUGGGAUGAUCCAACACUGAUCCAGGACUGGGUCGCUCUGGGACCAGGAGGCUCCGGCACCAGGAAGCUCCGAUACCAGAAUGUUCCGGAAUGUUCCGCCGUGGGGACGCUCUGAUCCUGGGAUGAUCCCACAGCAGGAGGCUCCAACACCAGGAAAAUCCCAGGCGGGGCUGCUCGGAUACGGGAACGCUCCAGCACCGGGAGCAGCAGGAUGUUCCCAUUCCGGAAUGUUCCACCCUGGGGAUGCUCCGAGGUCAGAGGGAUCCAGCACCGGAACGUUCCGACACCAGAACAUUCCAUCAGAUGCUCCGACAUUGGAAUGAUCCAAUCCUGGAAUGCCCCGACCAUGGGAUGCUUCAGCACCGGAAUGCCCUGACCCAGGAUGUCCCCAAAUCUGGGAUGUCCCCAAAUCUGGGAUGUCCUCAAAUCUGGGAUUCCCAAAUCCAGGAUGUCCCAAAUCCAAGAUGUCCCCAAAUCUGGGAUGUCCCAAAUCCAGGAUGUCACAAAUCCAAGAUGUCCCAAUUCCAGGAUGUCCCAAAUCCGGGAUGUCCCCAAAUCCAGGAUGUCCCCAUUCCCAGAUGUCCCCACACCGGGAUGUCCCCAUCAGGAGCCGGAUGGACACGGAGCGGCCGAUCCCAGGAAUUCCUGGGAAUUCCAAACCAGCCAAAUCCAGAGGACACCCGGAGCAGGGACAGGGACAGGGACAGGGACAGGGACACGGACACGGACAGGGACAGGGACACGCAGCUCUGGCUCUGCCUGGCCCCGAAUCCCAAAUUAUCCCAAAUUAUCCCAAAUAAUCCCAAAUUAUCCCAAAUAAUUCCAA